UAUAUACUCUCUCCGUCCCAAAAUUAUUGUCUUAGAUUUGUUUAAAUACGGAUGUAUCAAGUCACGUUUUAGUAUUAGAUAUAUCCAUAUCUAGACUAAUCUAAGACAAGAAUUUAGAAUGGAGGGAGUACAUG
rfam:Triticum aestivum genome assembly, contig: Triticum_aestivum_CS42_TGACv1_scaffold_457169_5DS